GACGAACGCUGGCAGCGUGCUUAACACAUGCAAGUCGAACGAUGAAGCCGGAGCUUGCUCUGGUGAAUUAGUGGCGAACGGGUGAGUAACACGUGAGUAACCUGCCCUUGACUCUGGGAUAACUGCGGGAAACUGUAGCUAAUACCGGAUACGACCCUCGGAGGCAUCUCCUGGGGGUGGAAAGAAUUUCGGUCAAGGAUGGACUCGCGGCCUAUCAGCUGGUUGGUGAGGUAAAGGCUCACCAAGGCGACGACGGGUAGCCGGCCUGAGAGGGUGACCGGCGACACUGGGACUGAGACACGGCCCAGACUCCUACGGGAGGCAGCAGUGGGGAAUAUUGCACAAUGGGCGCAAGCCUGAUGCAGCAACGCCGCGUGAGGGAUGACGGCCUUCGGGUUGUAAACCUCUUUUAGCAGGGAAGAAGCGAAAGUGACGGUACCUGCAGAAAAAGCACCGGCUAACUACGUGCCAGCCGCCGCGGUAA
rnacentral:rRNA from 1 species